rnacentral:rRNA from 1 species
UGGGGAAUUUUGCACAAUGGGGGAAACCCUGAUGCAGCGACGCCGCGUGUACGAUGAAGAUCUUCGGAUUGUAAAGUACUGUCCUUGGUGAAGAUAAUGACUGUAACCAAGAAGCAAGCCCUGGCUAAAUACGUGCCAGCAGCCGCGGUAAUACGUAUGGGGCAAGCGUUGUCCGGAAUUAUUGGGCGUAAAGGGUACGUAGGCGGUUAUUUAAGUCUAAAUUAAAAGGCAUUGGCUCAACCAAUGUAAGGUUUAGAUACUGGAUAACUUGAGUAGAUGAGGGGAAAGUGGAAUUCCAUGUGUAGAGGUGAAAUGCGUAGAUAUAUGGAGGAAAACCAAUGGCGAAGGCAACUUUCUGGAAUCAAACUGACGCUGAGGUACGAAGGAGUGGGGAGCAAACAGG